CCUCACGGAAAAGGUGCACAUUGAUCCGUCCUGCGGCCGUACGGGCGGGCUGCGGCUCUCCGACCUUCCCCCUGGAGGCGUCCUCGGCCGAGGGGCCGGGUGUGGGCUGAGGGGGCGGUGACGCGGUGCCGCCUCAGGGGGGCAGAGAGCGGGGCGGCAGCCUGCCCCUCAAACCAGCAGUGCGGUGGCCAGUGCUGUGAGAGAUGUGUGGUUGGAAGAACUAGCUGUCAUUUGGCCAAAGUCUAAACUUCUAAAAGCUACCUAAAGAUACAUCCUCAGCUGCAACUCCAAAACACCUGGGCCAAGGUAUGAAGCAACAGAGAUUGGAAUCCACAUACUUCAUGAAAGUCAUAUUUAACAGAGAGAGCCUUGUUUCUACAGCAGCAAGGAUGUCUGCAUGACGUGCUAAUGAAUGG